GUCUAUGGCCAUGCCACCCUGAACAAGCCCGAUCCCGUCUGAUCUUGGAAGCUAAGUAGGGUCGGGCCUGGUUAGUACUUGGAUGGGAGACCACCUACGAAGACCAAAAAUAAAAAAUA
rnacentral:rRNA from 1 species